rnacentral:rRNA from 1 species
CUACGGGCGGCUGCAGUGGGGAAUAUUACACAAUGGGCGCAAGCCUGAUGCAGCCAUGCCGCGUGUGUGAAGAAGGCCUUCGGGUUGUAAAGCACUUUCAGCGGGGAGGAAGGCGUUAAGGUUAAUAACCUUGGCGAUUGACGUUACCCGCAGAAGAAGCACCGGCUAACUCCGUGCCAGCAGCCGCGGUAAUACGGAGGGUGCAAGCGUUAAUCGGAAUUACUGGGCGUAAAGCGCACGCAGGCGGUCUGUCAAGUCGGAUGUGAAAUCCCCGGGCUCAACCUGGGAACUGCAUUCGAAACUGGCGGGCUAGAGUCUUGUAGAGGGGGGUAGAAUUCCAGGUGUAGCGGUGAAAUGCGUAGAGAUCUGGAGGAAUACCGGUGGCGAAGGCGGCCCCCUGGACAAAGACUGACGCUCAGGUGCGAAAGCGUGGGGAGCAAACAGGAUUAGAUACCCCAGUAGUC